rnacentral:rRNA from 1 species
ACUGCAAGUCGAGCGAAGAUAAGGAGCUUGCUCCUUUGACGUUAGCGGCGGACGGGUGAGUAACACGUGGAUAACCUACCUAUAAGACUGGGAUAACUUCGGGAAACCGGAGCUAAUACCGGAUAACAUAUUGAACCGCAUGGUUCAAUAGUGAAAGGCGGCUUUGCUGUCACUUAUAGAUGGAUCCGCGCCGUAUUAGCUAGUUGGUAAGGUAACGGCUUACCAAGGCAACGAUACGUAGCCGACCUGAGAGGGUGAUCGGCCACACUGGAACUGAGACACGGUCCAGACUCCUACGGGAGGCAGCAGUAGGGAAUCUUCCGCAAUGGGCGAAAGCCUGACGGAGCAACGCCGCGUGAGUGAUGAAGGUCUUCGGAUCGUAAAACUCUGUUAUCAGGGAAGAACAAAUGUGUAAGUAACUGUGCACAUCUUGACGGUACCUGAUCAGAAAGCCACGGCUAACUACGUGCCAGCAGCCGCGGUAAUACGUAGGUGGCAAGCGUUAUCCGGAAUUAUUGGGCGUAAAGCGCGCGUAGGCGGUUUUUUAAGUCUGAUGUGAAAGCCCACGGCUCAACCGUGGAGGGUCAUUGGAAACUGGAAAACUUGAGUGCAGAAGAGGAAAGUGGAAUUCCAUGUGUAGCGGUGAAAUGCGCAGAGAUAUGGAGGAACACCAGUGGCGAAGGCGACUUUCUGGUCUGUAACUGACGCUGAUGUGCGAAAGCGUGGGGAUCAAACAGGAUUAGAUACCCUGGUAGUCCACGCCGUAAACGAUGAGUGCUAAGUGUUAAGGGGGUUUCCGCCCCUUAGUGCUGCAGCUAACGCAUUAAGCACUCCGCCUGGGGAGUACGACCGCAAGGUUGAAACUCAAAGGAAUUGACGGGGACCCGCACAAGCGGUGGAGCAUGUGGUUUAAUUCGAAGCAACGCGAAGAACCUUACCAAAUCUUGACAUCCUUUGACCGCUCUAGAGAUAGAGUCUUCCCCUUCGGGGGACAAAGUGACAGGUGGUGCAUGGUUGUCGUCAGCUCGUGUCGUGAGAUGUUGGGUUAAGUCCCGCAACGAGCGCAACCCUUAAGCUUAGUUGCCAUCAUUAAGUUGGGCACUCUAAGUUGACUGCCGGUGACAAACCGGAAGAAAGGUGGGGAUGACGUCCAAUCUACAUGCCCCUUAUGAUUUGGGCUACACACGUGCUCCAAUGGAC